UACGGAGGGUGCAAGCGUUAUCCGGAUUCACUGGGUUUAAAGGGUGCGUAGGUGGGUCUGUAAGUCAGUGGUGAAAUCUUCGAGCUUAACUCGGAAACUGCCAUUGAUACUAUAGAUCUUGAAUUUUCUGGAGGUAAGCGGAAUAUGUCAUGUAGCGGUGAAAUGCUUAGAUAUGACAUAGAACACCAAUUGCGAAGGCAGCUUACUACGGGAACAUUGACACUGAGGCACGAAAGCGUGGGGAUCAAACAGGAUUAGAUA
rnacentral:rRNA from 1 species